UGGGGAAUAUUGGACAAUGGGCGAAAGCCUGAUCCAGCCAUGCCGCGUGUGUGAAGAAGGUCUUCGGAUUGUAAAGCACUUUAAGUUGGGAGGAAGGGCAUUAACCUAAUACGUUAGUGUUUUGACGUUACCGACAGAAUAAGCACCGGCUAACUCUGUGCCAGCAGCCGCGGUAAUACAGAGGGUGCAAGCGUUAAUCGGAAUUACUGGGCGUAAAGCGCGCGUAGGUGGUUUGUUAAGUUGGAUGUGAAAUCCCCGGGCUCAACCUGAGAACUGCAUUCAAAACUGACUGACUAGAGUAUGGUAGAGGGUGGUGGAAUUUCCUGUGUAGCGGUGAAAUGCGUAGAUAUAGGAAGGAACACCAGUGGCGAAGGCGACCACCUGGACUAAUACUGACACUGAGGUGCGAAAGCGUGGUGAGCAAACA
rnacentral:rRNA from 1 species